UGGGGAAUUUUGGACAAUGGGCGAAAGCCUGAUCCAGCAAUGCCGCGUGUGUGAAGAAGGCCUUCGGGUUGUAAAGCACUUUUGUCCGGAAAGAAAUCCUUGGCUCUAAUACAGUCGGGGGAUGACGGUACCGGAAGAAUAAGCACCGGCUAACUACGUGCCAGCAGCCGCGGUAAUACGUAGGGUGCAAGCGUUAAUCGGAAUUACUGGGGCGUAAAGCGUGCGCAGGCGGUUUGCUAAGACCGAUGUGAAAUCCCCGGGCUCAACCUGGGAACUGCAUUGGUGACUGGCAGGCUAGAGUAUGGCAGAGGGGGGUAGAAUUCCACGUGUAGCAGUGAAAUGCGUAGAGAUGUGGAGGAAUACCGAUGGCGAAGGCAGCCCCCUGGGCCAAUACUGACGCUCAUGCACGAAAGCGUGGGGAGCAAACAGGAUUAGAUACCCUGGUAGUCCACGCCCUAAACGAUGUCAACUAGUUGUUGGGGAUUCAUUUCCUUAGUACGUAGCUAACGCGUGAAGUUGACCGCCUGGGGAGUACGGUCGCAAGAUUAAAACUCAAUGAAUUGACGGGGUCAUAGCUGUUUCCU
rnacentral:rRNA from 1 species